AUUGAACGCUGGCGGCAGGCCUAACACAUGCAAGUCGAACGGUAACAGGAAGAAGCUUGCUUCUUUGCUGACGAGUGGCGGACGGGUGAGUAAUGUCUGGGAAACUGCCUGAUGGAGGGGGAUAACUACUGGAAACGGUAGCUAAUACCGCAUAACGUCGCAAGACCAAAGAGGGGGACCUUCGGGCCUCUUGCCAUCGGAUGUGCUCAGAUGGGAUUAGCUAGUAGGUGGGGUAACGGCUCACCUAGGCGACGAUCCCUAGCUGGUCUGAGAGGAUGACCAGCCACACUGGAACUGAGGCACGGUCCAGACUCCUACGGGAGGCAGCAGUGGGGAAUAUUGCACAAUGGGCGCAAGCCUGAUGCAGCCAUGCCGCGUGUAUGAAGAAGGCCUUCGGGUUGUAAAGUACUUUCAGCGGGGAGGAAGGGAGUAAAGUUAAUACCUUUACUCAUUGACGUUACCCGCAGAAGAAGCACCGGCUAACUCCGUG
rnacentral:rRNA from 1 species